ensembl:lncRNA
AGCACAAUGUGCUCUUAUUGUGCCUGGGCUUUUUUUUUUUUUUCUCGAAAAAAAAGGUUUUGCAAAAAUGAUCUUUUGAUGUUUAUAAAGUUGCUCCUGAAUGAGGGUCACUCCAGGGCAGUUGGGAACUCACGGCCUGAGCACUCGCAUUCCCCAGACAUAGUGAGGAGGGAAGCAGUCUGAAAUUUACACAAUGAGACAAACCCCUCAGUCCCAGGAAACACCCUCCUCGGUGCGUUCUGUGGGAUCAGAACCUCGGCUGACCGUGGAACCCGCCUCAGCUGACGGAGACCAGUGGCUGCACCUUCAGCGCUCUCUCAGCCGGGAAACAUGAGCUGAGCCAAGGGAUCUCCCUCUCCACUGGGGGAGUGAGCCACGCGGGUGGGGAGAGGACCAGUUUCUACGGAGUCGUUUAUCCAAAGAGGCCUCCAUGAGCGCCUGCAUUAACGAGGCCCCACUUGCGAUGGUUCCAGGAAGGCCUGAGCACAUGGGGAGCUGGGGCCCCGAGAAGGUGUCUGAUGUUUUGCAGGUUAAGUCCCCUACCUGAGCCCUCUGCUCACAUCCACCAACAGCCAGCCUGACGCGACCGAUGGCCAGGAAAUAAUGACAAUAGCGACAGCUGCCCCAGAGUGUGAGCUCUGCCCAGGUGGCUGUGCUCCCGGCUGGCUCCCAGGGCGCAGGAAGCGAGGUCCAGACAGGCAACGCACCAGGUGCAAGAAACAGGUGCUCAGUGAACAGCGGGGACUGGAAGAAUGUGCUGACACAUCGCUCUGGAUAAAGCUCCCUCUGUGCCCUUUGACUGAGCCCUCACCACUGUGAAGAGCACCGCUGUGUCCAUUUGACAGGGGAGAAAACUGAGGCCCAGAGGCAGACUUACCCACACACGGAAGCCGGCCUGAGCACACACCUGUUGGACCUUGGGAUCUGUGCUGUUUCCACAUCCUGCGUGGUCAGUGGGGACUCAGCACUGAUUCUAUCGGAGAACCUGGCAAGGCACAGAGAACACCCACUGGAGCGUCCGCUUCCCAUAGACUGCUAAUCCCCCAGGGGCAUAGGCUCAGGGCCGUUUGCAGGGCCGCAGAGCCUUAUGUGCUGCCAACUGCCCAUAAAGCCCAGCAGGGCCUCGGCUUGUCGCUGCCCAGAGCGAGGCUUUAUUUGACUCCGUGUGGGCGGGUUUUGUGAGGCCGAGAAGGGUCGAAGUCCAGGGCUGCAGCAAGCGGCUCUCCAGCGCGUUCUCACAGGAAACGCUGGUUUUGUGAUGGAUGGGCCUCACUUGGGGCUCCGCCAGCGGGCUGGAAGCACUGUGCCCUGUCUGAAGAGUGGUCCUGCCUCUGGGCAUGUACUCUGGGUGUGUUUUCCACAUCACAGCAUUUUCGUGUGUGUGUGCGUGCGUGUGCACCAGUGACUGAAGGGCACACGCCUGUGACCAGCCCCAGCAGCUGAGCCUGGAGCAGAAUCCCUGGGGGAGGGGGCGGGCGGGGCGGCUGAUGAGGGACUCCCAGACCCGCUCCAGACCUGGUGACUCACGGCCUCUGGGCUGGGUCCCUGGAAUGUUUAACAUGUUUCCUAAGCCAGCGGUCACCAACCUUUGAGGCACCGGUGCCUAAUUUCAUGGAAGACAGUCUUUCCAUGGACUGGGGUAGAGGCCAUGGUUUAGGAUGAUUCAAGACAGUAGUCUGUUGUACACUUUGUUUCCAACCUAAAGCCUCCACUGAUCUGACAAGAGGCACCAGCUCACCGCCUGGGGGCUGGGGACCCCUCUCCUACACAGUUCUUACGCUGAAAGAUGAGAACCACCGUUGGAGGGAUUGGGCAAAAAGACGG